UGGGGGGAAGAAUGGGAAGGACCUGGGC
rnacentral:piRNA from 1 species